rnacentral:lncRNA from 10 species
GGCCUCUCCCGGAAGGCCGCUGCAUGUCGGUACCACUGCAGAGGGCUGCGAAUUGCUUUUGGUGGCCUGCGCCUGCUGAGCGACCUGUCACAAACAUGCAAAGCUAUCAAAAUGAACACGGUUGACAGGGUCAUUUUAAGACAAGCAAUGAUUACAAGAAUAAAAGAGUUGAGUAGCAACAUUACGAUGCCACAGUGGAUAUGCCACGGUUUUGGUUUUCAAGCUGCAUUUUAGCACCCUUCACUCACUGAAACUUACAGAAUACUAAUAACCAUUUGGGGAUUGUCUUUGCUAGAACUCUCUAGCCAUGUUCUGUGUCUGUGUGUUUGUGUGUGUGCAUGUGUGUGUUCCCUUGCUUUUAGAAAACUUCAGCCUAAUUUAAACAAUACAUGGAUAUUUAAUGUUCUGACAGUUUAAUGAUAGGCAUAAUCAUAGUAAGCUGGUUCAUUUAAUGUAAAUGGUAAGGUGAGUGGACCAGGGCUUGGCAAAUGUAUUUUACACACACACACACACACACACACACGUAAAGGUAUGUUUCUUAAAUGACUGAAAGUAAGCAUAAUAGCAGACUACUGAAUUAGUGUGGCACAUUUGUGGGUUUUGUUGUCAAGCAGUUGUCUGUGGCUGCGUAACACACAAUACAUAUGUAUAUAAUUAAUGAUUAUAUAUUUAUUCCCUAGAAUUAAGUUUCUUGCCUUCAUUUUGUAGGGGUGAAGGGAAAGCUCUGCCCUCUGAAGGUUCACUGGAGUGAACUAACAAAAGAAAAGAUGAACAGAAGGAAAAGGGAUACGAAUUUAUUUUAUUUUUUA